CGUAGGCCGACAAAGAAAUACGACCAUUCUCUCAACCAUCGGUUAUUGAAUGUCCUAUCCAAAAGUUAGUACUUCUCAUGGAAAAUUAAUAAUUGGCAAACAGUUCAUUCGGGCACUUACAUCAGACAUGUAACAUGUUAUCACAAAUUCUCUCCGUUGAAACUCACCACCUGUGGUCCUUCAUUGUAGACUAGAAAUCAUUUAUGAUUGUGUUGUUUUUCUUUACUUAUUUUAAGUAUCAUAACAUGAUUUGGUGGGAGUGUAAAUGACCACAAAGGUAAUGUCAGUUACUCGUUGUGGGCGUGGCUCAAUUGAAGCAGACUCACCCCAGACCAUGUGUGCCGAGCACGGAGAUUUACGGCACUCACUGCCUUCAGGUUUCUUCAAGUUUAAUCUCAGAUGCCGUGUGUGUGUCAGUCAAGCUAGCGAUGCUAAGAUCGAAGACUUCAACACGUUUUCUAAUUAUUGCACCCUUGGUAAGCGGAGCGAGGUAUGUCAUUUUGACUCAUCGUAUCAGUAAACAAAAGUUUAGAGAACCCUAAAUGUUGACAUUGUUUGUAAUAUUUGUUCUUUGGGAGACUAAAUAUUUUCACGUGCUUAUGCAGCGGUGCACAUUAGUCAUUUUUUGUGUGUAUUACCAUGCUUUAUUCAGAGCUUAUAUUCUGUAUUUAUGUGUAGACAUGUGUGUUACUGUGAUAUAUGUGAGUUUAUUUGCACUUUGUUAAAUUUGAGUGACCAUUAAGCAGCAACUUUGUUCAUUUUUAGUUUUCACGGUGCUUGAAGGAUGCUCAAGUGUUGCUGGUCAAACUUCUGUGGAUGACACCAGCAAAUAAACUCACCGCACCCGUUA